UACGUAGGGGCUAGCGUUAUCCGGAUUUACUGGGCGUAAAGGGUGCGUAGGUGGUUUCUUAAGUCAGAGGUGAAAGGCUACGGCUCAACCGUAGUAAGCCUUUGAAACUGGGAAACUUGAGUGCAGGAGAGGAGAGUGGAAUUCCUAGUGUAGCGGUGAAAUGCGUAGAUAUUAGGAGGAACACCAGUUGCGAAGGCGGCUCUCUGGACUGUAACUGACACUGAGGCACGAAAGCGUGGGGAGCAAACAGGAUUAGAUACCCCGGUAGUCCCUGAGCGGG
rnacentral:rRNA from 1 species